UACGGCUGUAUCAUAUUGAAAUACCGGUUCCCAUACGAUGACCGAAGGUAAGCAAUGUCGAGCCUGGUCAGUACGUAGAUGGGUUACCGCUUGGAAAUACCAGGUGCUGUAAG